UGGGCUCUGUGUCUUGCAUCACAAAG
rnacentral:piRNA from 1 species